rnacentral:lncRNA from 1 species
AAGAACUUCCUCCGGGCAGCUGUUGCUCCUUCAGCCUGGGCCCCAGAGUAAACACACAUGCCAACAGCCCAGUCUACAGUCUGGAGCCAAGUAUAGCUGAGCUGCAGCCUGAAACAGAGCUCCCCAGCCUAGCCCAGACUAAACCAGCCAAACCACAAUCCAUCUUGCAGACUCAUCUCUGAAAACACUCAAUUUUAAUUACUGAAAAAUAAUCCAUCACAAUCUAUUUAACUUUUCUCCUAUUGAAGUCAUCAGAAAGGACUUCUAGAUUGGGCAUCUUCAUAUGUGCAGCAUUCUCAAGACUAUCACCUCGCAGGAGAGUCGGCAGAGCUGCCAUCACUUCUUCAGCUGGACCAGUCUGUGAGGGUGCUUGGCUGCUCAUGAAGCAA